rnacentral:rRNA from 1 species
AGCGAACGCUGGCGGCAGGCUUAACACAUGCAAGUCGAACGGGCACUUCGGUGCUAGUGGCAGACGGGUGAGUAACACGUGGGAACGUGCCCUUUGGUACGGAAUAACUCAGGGAAACUUGUGCUAAUACCGAAUGUGCCCUUCGGGGGAAAGAUUUAUCGCCUUUAGAGCGGCCCGCGUCUGAUUAGCUAGUUGGUGAGGUAAAGGCUCACCAAGGCUACGAUCAGUAGCUGGUCUGAGAGGAUGACCAGCCACAUUGGGACUGAGACACGGCCCAAACUCCUACGGGAGGCAGCAGUGGGGAAUCUUGCGCAAUGGGCGAAAGCCUGACGCAGCCAUGCCGCGUGGAUGAUGAAGGUCUUAGGAUUGUAAAAUCCUUUCACCGGUGAAGAUAAUGACUGUAGCCGGAGAAGAAGCCCCGGCUAACUUCGUGCCAGCCGCCGCGGUAAAAC